rnacentral:rRNA from 1 species
GACGAACGCUGGCGGCGUGCUUAACUCAUGCAAGUCGAACGGAAAGGCCCUGCUUUUGUGGGGUGCUCGAGUGGCGAACGGGUGAGUAACACGUGAGUAACCUGCCCUUGACUUUGGGAUAACUUCAGGAAACUGGGGCUAAUACCGGAUAGGAGCUCCUGCUGCAUGGUGGGGGUUGGAAAGUUUCGGCGGUUGGGGAUGGACUCGCGGCUUAUCAGCUUGUUGGUGGGGUAGUGGCUUACCAAGGCUUUGACGGGUAGCCGGCCUGAGAGGGUGACCGGCCACAUUGGGACUGAGCUACGGCCCAGACUCCUACGGGAGGCAGCAGUGGGGAAUAUUGCACAAUGGACGGAAGCCUGAUGCAGCAACGCCGCGUGCGGGAUGACGGCCUUCGGGUUGUAAACCGCUUUCGCCUGUGACGAAGCGUGAGUGACGGUAAUGGGUAAAGAAGCACCGGCUAACUACGUG